GAUGAACGCUGGCGGCGUGCCUAAUACAUGCAAGUCGAGCGAACGGACGAGAAGCUUGCUUCUCUGAUGUUAGCGGCGGACGGGUGAGUAACACGUGGAUAACCUACCUAUAAGACUGGGAUAACUUCGGGAAACCGGAGCUAAUACCGGAUAAUAUUUUGAACCGCAUGGUUCAAAAGUGAAAGACGGUCUUGCUGUCACUUAUAGAUGGAUCCGCGCUGCAUUAGCUAGUUGGUAAGGUAACGGCUUACCAAGGCAACGAUGCAUAGCCGACCUGAGAGGGUGAUCGGCCACACUGGAACUGAGACACGGUCCAGACUCCUACGGGAGGCAGCAGUAGGGAAUCUUCCGCAAUGGGCGAAAGCCUGACGGAGCAACGCCGCGUGAGUGAUGAAGGUCUUCGGAUCGUAAAACUCUGUUAUUAGGGAAGAACAUAUGUGUAAGUAACUGUGCACAUCUUGACGGUACCUAAUCAGAAAGCCACGGCUAACUACGUGCCAGCAGCCGCGGUAAUACGUAGGUGGCAAGCGUUAUCCGGAAUUAUUGGGCGUAAAGCGCGCGUAGGCGGUUUUUUAAGUCUGAUGUGAAAGCCCACGGCUCAACCGUGGAGGGUCAUUGGAAACUGGAAAACUUGAGUGCAGAAGAGGAAAGUGGAAUUCCAUGUGUAGCGGUGAAAUGCGCAGAGAUAUGGAGGAACACCAGUGGCGAAGGCGACUUUCUGGUCUGUAACUGACGCUGAUGUGCGAAAGCGUGGGGAUCAAACAGGAUUAGAUACCCUGGUAGUCCACGCCGUAAACGAUGAGUGCUAAGUGUUAGGGGGUUUCCGCCCCUUAGUGCUGCAGCUAACGCAUUAAGCACUCCGCCUGGGGAGUACGACCGCAAGGUUGAAACUCAAAGGAAUUGACGGGGACCCGCACAAGCGGUGGAGCAUGUGGUUUAAUUCGAAGCAACGCGAAGAACCUUACCAAAUCUUGACAUCCUUUGACAACUCUAGAGAUAGAGCUUUCCCCUUCGGGGGACAAAGUGACAGGUGGUGCAUGGUUGUCGUCAGCUCGUGUCGUGAGAUGUUGGGUUAAGUCCCGCAACGAGCGCAACCCUUAAGCUUAGUUGCCAUCAUUAAGUUGGGCACUCUAAGUUGACUGCCGGUGACAAACCGGAGGAAGGUGGGGAUGACGUCAAAUCAUCAUGCCCCUUAUGAUUUGAGCUACACACGUGCUACAAUGGACAAUACAAAGGGCAGCGAAACCGCGAGGUCAAGCAAAUCCCAUAAAGUUGUUCUCAGUUCGGAUUGUAGUCUGCAACUCGACUACAUGAAGCUGGAAUCGCUAGUAAUCGUAGAUCAGCAUGCUACGGUGAAUACGUUCCCGGGUCU
rnacentral:rRNA from 1 species